UGAACGCUGGCGGCGUGCUUAACACAUGCAAGUCGAACGGAAAGGCCCAAGCUUGCUUGGGUACUCGAGUGGCGAACGGGUGAGUAACACGUGGGUGAUCUGCCCUGCACUUCGGGAUAAGCCUGGGAAACUGGGUCUAAUACCGGAUAGGACGAUGGUUUGGAUGCCAUUGUGGAAAGUUUUUUCGGUGUGGGAUGAGCUCGCGGCCUAUCAGCUUGUUGGUGGGGUAAUGGCCUACCAAGGCGUCGACGGGUAGCCGGCCUGAGGGGGUGUACGGCCACAUUGGGACUGAGAUACGGCCCAGACUCCUACGGGAGGCAGCAGUGGGGAAUAUUGCACAAUGGGCGCAGGCCUGAUGCAGCGACGCCGCGUGGGGGAUGACGGCCUUCGGGUUGUAAACUCCUUUCGCUAGGGACGAAGCGUUUUUGUGACGGUACCUGGAGAAGAAGCACCGGCUAACUACGUG
rnacentral:rRNA from 1 species